CGAUGUUGAAGGAGGAGUACAUACAGAUCUCCCUCUCACUGCGGGGGAAGGACCAGUAGACGAUCCUGCGUUGCACUGGCUCCGGGAUCCGCUCGAACCGCUCCUCCACCCGUUGGAAGGGCCACUUCUCCGCCACCUUGCGAGCCGCAAUGUCCAGAAGGGACUUGGGGUUCUGGGUCUUGCCGAGCGGCAACAGCCCCAAGGCGGCGGCAGCAGCAGCUGCUGCUGCUUCAGGAGCAGUUGCUGCGGAGGAGGGUCCAGCACAGAGCGCCCCGCUGCCAAAUCCGGUGCCGCCCACCCGCUGGCCCGGCCUGCACCCUGAGCCAUAGCCGGGUCUGCAGCAGAGGCGCUUAGCAGGAGAAGGGAGCUGACCGCGUUCCGCCAUGAUCACGCCGCUUCUAAACGAAUAGCGGAAGUGGCUGUGAACUAUAAACAGCACCAGGAAGGCAGCAAGAGGCUGUGAGCCACCCUCAGGUCACACCCCCUCUUCCUUUAUAUAGCGAGGGGGGCGGUGCUGGCCGCCUCGCUUACAGCAGGAGGCGAAACUUUAUUGAAAUCGGCGUCACAAACAUAAGAAGCCCAAGGAAAGCGCGUUCUGCGAGCUGGUGGAGAUGAUGCCUAUGUGUCGCCUUUUUCUCUCUUCCCCCGCUGUCACACACUCACACACACACAAGCCUUAGCCUCACGCGCCUGGAGGGGAGAAGGGGGCGUGGCUGACUGCGCCCCUCUGACACCGUGUAAGGAAUGGAAUGCGGAGGUGGAGCUGCCGUGGCUUCAAUCCAGUCCAGGAAAGCUAGAGUCGGGCCGCCUGAAAAUACUGUAGCGGUUGAGGCAACCACUCUAGUCGGCGGAAAGGCAGAAGCUACCUCGUCUCCAGCGCCUGGCCCAAGGAAGCAGAGCGACGCCCGCCUUUCGCCAGAGCUCUGCGGCAGUCGGGAGCUGCUAGGAAGUGGCAAAGGAGAGCAGGUAGGGCUUGCUGCCUACAAGCAGCUCCACAGGGUGGCCUGGCCUAGGCUUCAAUCUCAGAGGUGGGCUGAAAUGGGUGAAGCUGAGACGUUAUUAGCUGACCCCACGCGUGCCCGCAGCAAGCCCUUGCGUGAGGCGCACCUUAAAUUUCCACUUCUAUUAGAGGCUCUACGGUAGCUACGGCCAUUCGACUGCUGGGUGAGCCCCUGCUCCGUGGGGUCUUUGGCUUGUGCUGGCUCAAUAGUCGCGUGUUCGCCGUGGUCCCUGGAAGGGCUGGUUGCACCCCAGUGUGAGUUUCACGCGGCCGGCUCGCUUCGCAGAUGGUCCGGCUUGGAACCGCUCUAUUAGCCCAAGAUGAAGGCCUCAACGCCACGACCCGCAGCUCCAAAGUGCAGUAGUGUGGAAUCGACCUCUGACUUUGGAAAAUCCAGUACACAACAUACUGCCUGGAGAUUAUGUCUACAUAAAGACUUGGAACAGGAAACCUCUGCAAGGAAGGUGGAAAGGACCAUAUCAGGUGUUACUGACCACCUUCACUGCAAUCAAGAUUGCCGAAUCAGAUGCCUGGAUCCAUUACACUCUAGUGAAGAAAGCACCAUCAAGCCCGUGGAGUAGAGAUCCUGAGAAAUUGAAAUUAACUUUGAAACAUGACUAAGUUUUUUUGUUCUUGUUGAUUUUUCAGUCUGUGGUGGUGGACACAACACGUGGAUCAAAAUUGGAUAGUUGCAUCAAACUAAAAUGAUAUCUCAUGUUCAGGCCCAGACUCCAGUCCAGACAAAAAUAGACUCGGAACAGACUAAACAGUCCCAGUUCCUGCAGCCUUUGCUCGUAUGAAAGAUGUUCCAGUCCCCUGAUCAUCUUGGUGGCCCUGCUCUGGACU